UCAGAAGGCUGUCCUCAUCGUCCAACACACAGCGGUAACAUCACCCCAGGACUUCAGCCCUCCGGUGAUACCUGGUUCAGCGAAGACUAGGCCUUAGGGAGUGUUUAUGGCUCUGUCAUAACAGCAUUGUGGCAGAAGUAUGGAACACCAGCAUAUACAUGUAAUGUAUCAGGACCUUCACAGGUUAACUUCUUCAGAUGACUCCAAAGCGCAACGUUGCAAAGCUCACUUCUACAACCUUAGUCACCAAUGACAAGGCACCACCAUAUCCCCUUGCUCACCAGUUCAAACAAACUACUGCCCUCGAGUCAGAAGGCUGUCCUCAUCGUCCAACACACAGCGGUAACAUCACCCCAGGACUUCAGCCCUCCGGUGAUACCUGGUUCAGCGAAGACUAGGCCUUGGGGAGUGUUUACGGCUCUGUCAUAACAGCAUUGUGGCAGAAGUAGCCUCGAUCUCGACCAAGACAUUUUGAAUGCCACUCUGUAUGGCUCAGCAUCCUUUUUUUUCUUUAUUCAUACUAACGUGUGUUCAUGUCCAUUUUUCCACCUAUGAUUCUUACAUUUAUUUUCUGAUACCAUGUUUCUGUGUGAUUUUAGUCUUAUUUUUACUGGUAUGACAAUGUAAACAUAUACCUUUGUUCCACACAAGAUAUUUUGGGAUUUUGUGUGCACUUCCAUGUAACUACAUGUAUUUUUAUAUGAUAGUUUUUGUUUCUGAUUGUUCAAUUCCUUUUACGCUCUCAUUCCUUUAUAGUUGUAUCUUAUUUGAGACAGAGAAAGAGAGAGGGUGAAUAGUAGAGAGAGAGAGAGAGGGGGGAUGCAGAAACAAAGCGCCAUUCAUGAUGUAUUUUAUUACAUUUGUGUUUUAACUUUGCACAUACAUUGCAAGAUUUCGGGGAUUUAACACGUUUAUUUUUCUGUAAGUUUGUAAAUCCUUGUAUUCACACAGUGUUUUGAGUGAUAUAUUGUAAAGAUAGAUCUUAUGCAUGCUCCUUGGGAAAAGAAGUUAUACAUGCUUGUCACUCUUCUUAUCUUGGCAUUACCGUAAUUCUUAUAUUGGUUGAUGUUGCUGAUAUAUGAAACAGAAUCUGAUGGAUAUCAUUGAUAACAGUUACUGUUUGUCUUCUUUUUAACAUCAGGAUAACAGAUCUUAUUAGUACAGCGAAAGACAAUUCACUGUAAUUUGUUAUAUUUUCAUAUAUUACACGAUUAUGAUUUUCAAUGGCACAUGUUUGUACACUACAAUUUUAUGUCAUUAGAGGUCACAUAUCCAGUUUGUUUCGUGAAUAGUCAAUAUUGGAUUAUGAUAUGAUUAUAAUGUCAGUUUAUUUGCAACAUUUACCCCAUAUAUAGUGGUACCUUACGAUCAACUGUCAAUAUCUACUGCAUUCACUAUACAUAGCAGUGUCUUGCUUGCUGUAACAAAGAUGUAUAUAGGGCUGUUAGGGAUUAUCCAUAAUGUACAUUGUUUUUUAGUUUUAUUGUUAUUGUGUUUAUCUGAACUUAUAUCUCACUUCCUAUGUAGGGGGCCUUUCAUAUAAUCAGUAGGUAUCUUGUUUAUGUACCUGUUUUAUAUAUGUAUUCCAUUUCUGUUGAAUAUAUACAUGUUAAAAUGCCCUUUUCAGAGAUUUGUACAAUGCUGCUCUUUUCAGUAUGUGCUUUUAUUUUGGUAUAUCAAAUUUAAUUGGAUUUGCUGUUUUUUUUUUUUAUUUUUUUUUUUAAUGUGUUCGAAGAUGAUAGGUGAUUACCAUUUGUAAUAUUGCAUUGCGGUUCUUUUUUAGAUCGCCAAGGAAAUAGCGUGAUGUUAAGUUUGGUGCAGAAUGUCAUUUACAUGCAUGUAGAUAGGUCUAUGCAAUUUAGCUUUGACUUUGGUUUGAUAAGCUUAAUUGUUUAGUGCUUUGAACAUGAAUUUAACAAUGAAUA
rnacentral:lncRNA from 1 species